GUUUUAAUAAUUUAAAUAAAAUAUUGGUCUUGUAAACCAAAAAUAAGAUCUCUCUUUUAAAACU
rnacentral:tRNA from 1 species